GACGAGGGAUCCUAGCGUUGCUCGGAAUCAUUGGGCGUAAAGCGGGUGUAGGUGGCUUGGUAAGUCGGGUGUGAAAGCCCAGGGCUCAACCCUGGAAGUGCAUUCGAUACUGCUAAGCUUGAGUGCUAGAGAGGUUAAUAGAAUACCUGGUGUAGUGGUGAAAUACGUAGAUAUCUGGAGGAACACCGGUGGCGAAGGCGGCAUCCUGGACCAACAUUGACGCUGAGGAGCGAAAGCCAGGGGAGCAAACGGG
rnacentral:rRNA from 1 species